AUUAAACGCUGGCGGCAUGCCUUACACAUGCAAGUCGAACGGCAGCACGGGGGCAACCCUGGUGGCGAGUGGCGAACGGGUGAGUAAAGCAAUCGGAACGUGCCCUGGAGUGGGGGAUAACGUAGCGAAAGUUACGCUAAUACCGCAUAUUCUGUGAGCAGGAAAGCAGGGGAUCGCAAGACCUUGCGCUCUGGGAGCGGCCGAUGUCGGAUUAGCUAGUUGGUGGGGUAAAGGCCUACCAAGGCGACGAUCCGUAGCGGGUCUGAGAGGAUGAUCCGCCACACUGGGACUGAGACACGGCCCAGACUCCUACGGGAGGCAGCAGUGGGGAAUUUUGGACAAUGGGCGAAAGCCUGAUCCAGCCAUGCCGCGUGAGUGAAGAAGGCCUCGGGUUGUAAAGG
rnacentral:rRNA from 1 species